AUUGAACGCUGGCGGCAUGCCUUACACAUGCAAGUCGAACGGUAACAGGUCUUCGGAUGCUGACGAGUGGCGAACGGGUGAGUAAUACAUCGGAACGUGCCUAGUAGUGGGGGAUAACUACUCGAAAGAGUGGCUAAUACCGCAUGAGAUCUACGGAUGAAAGCAGGGGAUCGCAAGACCUUGUGCUACUAGAGCGGCCGAUGGCAGAUUAGGUAGUUGGUGGGAUAAAAGCUUACCAAGCCGACGAUCUGUAGCUGGUCUGAGAGGACGAUCAGCCACACUGGGACUGAGACACGGCAGAGACUCCUACAGGAGGCGGCAGUGGGGAAUUUUGUACAAUGGGCGCAAGCCUGAUCCAGCAAUGCCGCGUGCAGGAUGAAGGCCUUCGGGUUGUAAACUGCUUUUGUUCGGAACGAAAAGCCCAGGGUUAAGACCCUGGGGUCAUGACGGUACCGUAAGAAUAAGCACCGGCUAACUACGUGCCAGCCGCCGCAGUAACAC
rnacentral:rRNA from 1 species